GCGCCCGUAGCUCAGUCGGUAGAGCGGUGGAACGGUCAUCCACAACGGGACGGGUUCAAGUCCCGGCGGUCGCU